rnacentral:rRNA from 1 species
GAUGAACGCUGGCGGCGUGCCUAAUACAUGCAAGUCGAACGCUGGAAAUCUAGCUUGCUAGAUUGAAGGAGUGGCGAACGGGUGAGUAAUACAUAAGCAACCUACCCACGAAGACUGGGAUAAUCUCUGGAAACGGGGACUAAUACCGGAUAGGUAAUCGGAAGGCAUCUUCUGAUUAUUAAAGGUUAAAAACACUGGUGGAUGGGCUUAUGGCGCAUUAGUUAGUUGGUGAGGUAACGGCCCACCAAGACGAUGAUGCGUAGCCGGCCUGAGAGGGUGAACGGCCACAUUGGGACUGCGACACGGCCCAGACUCCUACGGGAGGCAGCAGUAGGGAAUUUUCGGCAAUGGGGGAAACCCUGACCGAGCAACGCCGCGUGAGUGAUGACGGCCUUCGGGUUGUAAAGCUCUGUUGUAAGGGAAGAACGGUAGAUAGAGAAUAUCUAAAUGACGGUACCUUACCAGAAAGCCACGGCUAACUACGUG